UUGGACAAUUGACUCAAAGGCAGGUGUCAGCAAUUCCUUCGUUAUGUCAUUAUCAAUUAAGCAGAUAAUAUAUAUGGUGUUAUUUUUUGAGCUUAAGAGGGCAAAGGGGGAAAUGGAAGCAGCUCAUGUGUGGUCCUUGUGUGGAAGGCACCUUGCAAAAAACAAACAUGGAGUAGCUGCAAAUAGUCCUCAUAUGAUAUAGAUGUUAAAUGUCUUUCUAUGUUUCUGUCCAAUAGUUAUUGAUUAAUAUGUCCCAAGAGGGGGUGAUUUGUUCUAUUAUAGGACCACAGAAAAUCAGAAGAAAAUGGUGGCAAUAGUGUUUUGCUAUAUUUUUUUUUUUUUUUUUUUAAAGAUUUUGUUUUAAUACCUCCAAAUAUUUGAAAUUACUAUAUGCCUCUAUGUAAGCAUAUUAGUAAGCAUUCCAUACCACUAUUAUUGUUGAGUUCCUUAGUUUUGGUUCAGUUGGUGGAUAAGUCCAAACAUUUUGGAAACCGAAAGCAGGAAAAGAUUUGCCGCGCUAUGUUUGACCACAAGCAUUUUGAGACCACACCCCCUAAUUACCAUGUCCAUUUUACAAGACUUGCCAGGUUAUAAAAGUUUGAACACAUUUCUGUGGUUUUUAGGUGUUAUUACAGUUUUGCUAAUGAAGGUGAAUUGCCCUUUAAGCUGCAAAUCAGUUUCGCCAAGAGACCACCUUGUCUCAAAACUGUUACAAAAGUAUAUUGAGUAUCUAUUCUGGGCUCUCUGCCAAAAGUCCGUUAAGUUAGAAACAUUGUAUCUUUUUCUGAUCAGUGCAGGAGAUCAAAAGAAAGUUGGGAAUGGUGGUCAAAGUUUUAUUUUGCACCUUCAGGUAUGCAUUUCUUGGGGGAGUUGUUAAAAAUAUAUAUAAAAUUAAAUUUGUUUCUCUACUUACAUUUGUGAAGGUAGGUGGAUCUUUCUUGACUUUAGUAGUGAUGUGUGAGUCUAGAAAAAAAUCAACCUUCACCCGACCCUAACCUGCUCCUGGAGAACCCACACCCGACGCUAACCUGCUGCGAUCUCUUUAUAUACCCACGACCACCCCACGGUUAUGUCACGAAAGGGGGCAGGGCACGCCAGCGUGAAUAUAUAAAAAGAAUUGUGUCCAGGCAGAAGUGGGGCAGUAGAAGGUUGCAGACCAGGUGGACACAGGCUAAAGUUCCUGUGGGCUUCAGGUUGGCCACACAUCGCUAUUGAGUGCCACCUUAUUGGUUUGAAAUAUAAACCAAAAUCCCGUUUUAAUUAUGUGUUCUUUUUUGCACAGUUGGUAAGGCCUAUAGCAGAGACAAAAAUGUGUUCUCUUCAGCUCAAAACUAUAAGCCUGUUUAAACUGAAAAAAUGUUAUCCUGGUAGAUAAAAUGCAUCAUUAUUAUAUGCUUUUUGCACUCCUGCAAGAAAGACCAAUUGCUGAAAGGGGAAUACUGAAGAUUUUUUAGAAUUAGUACAGAAUUUUUAAUUGAUUCUACUUAUGAAGUUCCUUAAUUCUGUGUAAGUACAUUUGUGUUAAAAAUGACAGUGACAGGUUUAAGUUUUGCUGGUAUGUUCUGUGCUGGUAUGUUUUUUUUUUUUAAUAUACCUUUUGGGACAAAAAAAAACUGGGAAUUUUUCACUUUCCACAAGGUGAGGUUUCAUAUUGGUUUAAAGGUUUUUCUGCACUUUCUUCCACAGAUUGUGUAUAAAGGUUCUCCUGCACCUUUUCCAACAAGCCAUGCAUCUAGGCUUUCCUGCAGCAUUCCCUACAAACAUCUCUGCUGAUGAAGAGGACCCCAUGGCACAAAGCUAUGAUGAUCGCUUCAUCCCAAAUAUGGAGACUAACUGCUCCACUGGUGUGCUUCUCAUACACCAAAACAUCCAAACUCUUUCGUGCCGUUUGGCGCCUGCAAUGCAAGGUAACCUAACACCCAAUGCUUUAUAGAUCCAAUGGACAGUACAGGGGUUAGGUCGCUGUCACAUGCAAAAGUCUAAAUUGUAAUUGUUGUCUGUGUGCACUUUACUUUUGUUUAUCAUUCUUAAAGGUAAUGACUUGUAGGCAGAUUACUUUCUAUUGUUAUAUAAUACACUUCAGUAAUCUUGUCUAGUACAAUCAGUAUAUGCAGAGCUGUUAGUCUGGCAAAUAUGAGAGGAGCUGGUGUGCCAAAGGACUUGUGGAAAUAUCUUAAUGUUACUUAUAACCACCAGCCUGACCUUGAGCAUUUGUUGCUUCACUUAUGACUGUUCUGAAUGGAUAUAUUGGGCACAGUGAGACAUAUUUAUCAAUAUCUGAGUUAAAGUGCCAGUACCAAUCAAAGAGCAGGGAAUCUAAGGUGUCCUAUAAAUUCAACAAAACCCCUAACAUGUGGCUAUUUUGUCAUAACAACAGACAUAACAACAGAUAUACUUGAAAGCUUCUUUGUUUCCACUAGGUGUGGUAUUUCUCCCCUCAAUUUUUGUAACCUUUAUGGUCAGUUCCUGUACCUCGUCCUUGGUACUAGCAUUCAAUUGAAAGUGUAGUUGGUGGAACAGACCAAGGUAGACGCAGAGCUUUGCUGCAAAAAAUCAUUUUAUUCACACAACAUGUUUCG